AAAAUUCAUAAAAAUUCCAUCAUCAGCAAAUUUCAGUCGCUCGAUCACAAUCGCUGUAUCACAAUGGAAAUUGCCGACAAUGUCAAGCUUAAUUAAACCAUCGUUCAUUCCAUUCAUCGUAUCUUUGAAGUUAAAAAAAAGGGUCAAAAGGUUUCGAGAAAAUACUGGCAACACUGCAAUGGCCCAAAAGGUCGCUGGAUACAGCGGUACCAGAAAGGGCCAUGACGUCAUGCGGAUGACUCGUUCGGAGCCGCUUGCCUCCUGAUGUAAAGAUGCAAUCCGUACUUGUCGUGGAAAAAAAAGAGAAGAAGAACUCGUAAAGUCUUAUCUGACCGCAAACCGAUAGAGUUCUUCUCGUGAUAUCUUCCUCACGUUAAUUCAAUCAUUAAUUGUUGCAGUUUUAUCAAGAUGAUUUUGAUGAAGUCUGAUGAAAUGGGUAUUUUUGUAACAUUCUCUUCUUACGUUAUUGGUUAUGUAUUACAAAG